AUUGAACGCUGGCGGCAGGCUUAACACAUGCAAGUCGAACGGUAGCAGGAGAAAGCUUGCUUUCUUGCUGACGAGUGGCGGACGGGUGAGUAAUGCUUGGGAAUCUGGCUUAUGGAGGGGGAUAACUACGGGAAACUGUAGCUAAUACCGCGUAAUAUCUUCGGAUUAAAGACUGGGACUUUUAGCCAUUCGCCAUAAGAUGAGCCCAAGUGGGAUUAGGUAGUUGGUGGGGUAAAGGCCUACCAAGCCGACGAUCUCUAGCUGGUCUGAGAGGAUGACCAGCCACACUGGAACUGAGACACGGUCCAGACUCCUACGGGAGGCAGCAGUGGGGAAUAUUGCGCAAUGGGGGCAACCCUGACGCAGCCAUGCCGCGUGAAUGAAGAAGGCCUUCGGGUUGUAAAGUUCUUUCGGUGGUGAGGAAGGCUAAUAUGUUAAUAGCAUAUUAGAUUGACGCUAGCCACAGAAGAAGCACCGGCUAACUCCGUG
rnacentral:rRNA from 1 species